AAGCAACACUGUGGUAGAUGAACAAAACUAUCUGACAAGCUUUGAGCUUGCUAUAACAAGAAAGUCGAACCUCUCCCAGUAUUUUCCCCAUGAGACAAAACAUUAUAUAGACUCAAACAAU
ensembl:snoRNA